ensembl:lncRNA
CUUAAAAGAAGUUAGAAAACAGUGCACAAAUGAAGUAAUCCUGGGGAUUGAGACACCACCAGGUGACCACGAUGAUACUGUUCAGUUUCAUAAGAUUUUUUCAUCAUGAAAGAAUAAGUGUAUAAAGAGGAAAGCCGAGUGAAAGCACCAGCAGACCAAGUCCAUUCAAGAAACCAAGUACCUCAUCUGAGAAAGGAGAAAAUAAUAUUCUCUCUCUUUCUGAUCUUUUCAUACUUCCCUGUUCAUAAGCCUGGCGUAAUAUGAGAUGAAUUUCAAAUGGAGGUUAUAAUAUGAACUCUGCAGCAUGUUACAGCUCAUCUGGCUUUCCCUAACAGGAAGAGUGGCAGGAUGCCCGUGCUGUCCUCUUCCCUGUGGUUUAUUGUCCAAUCAUAUAAGAAAGUUCUGAAGGAGCAACUGGAAUGAGCCUUCAAGCUGACCAUCCGACCUUCUUCCCAUGCAAACCAUGGUCCUCUGCUUCACCAAAGGAACAGCUGCGUUUGGAGCUUCUCUGACUUCACCUGGAGGGCCGCAGGGCACUGGGGCUAUCGACUGGACUCUUCCUCUUGUCCUGGCACAGCUCAUUGGAUACCAGUCCCAGUCCUGCCUUUUUCACCAGGGCUCACCUGAAGGCUGCAGGAAGCUCGCAUCUGUCCACUGGAUUCUUCUUGUGGUGGUGCAGAGGCUCAGAGGACCCAGUCUCAGUCUUUCCCGUUUCCUCAGAGCUUGGGAAAGAAGAGGUGAGAGGUCCUGGGGAAGGAUGAGGAGGGGGGAUGGGAAGGAAGACUGAUGGGGAGCAGCUGCUGGCGCAGGGGCUCUCUGGCAGAUGGUGACAUUUCAACGCCAAGAUGGAAAUUGAGAGCCCCUUGCGCGCCGACGGAUGUAGCGCCGUCUCCAGGCAUGCACGAUGUUGUGGUGCCUGCUCUGCCCUGAGCGAGGUGGAUCCACCUCCAUUGGCUCAUCCUCUGGAGGUGGGUCCACCUCCAUGGGUUCAAUGGUGUCACCUGUGGGUGGAUCGACACCCGUCAGCUUGGGUUGGUGGCUGCUCCCCAUCAGCCGAUGCCUUUUCAGUGGAGGAGGAUCCAUCCUCCUCCACAGGAGCUGGGAACACUGCGUGGGAAGGCUCAAAGUAAGUUGCUCCUUGUCUCAGCAAGAUGCUGCCAAGGCGCAGGUCAGUCAGCGACUGGCGUUCUGUUGACACGGUCCCCGCAUUUAUAGCGGUUGUCAGGGAGGUGGCUGGUGACAUCAGAAAGCCGUUCUCAGGUGUGACCCUCAGAGUGUCCCAGGAUGUCCGCCAGAAAUGGCUGUGUUGGGCAAGGGGAGGCUAUGGCUUGAGAGCUGCCCUAGCUGCAGCUGGUGGGGUUCCUCAGGGCCCCGCGUUCGGACCAGGUCUCUUUAAUGUUUCUGUUGAUGACUCCAAUAAAGAUCUUGAAGUUAUAUUAAGUGAAUUUGUGGGUGAUGAUGCCCAGGCCAGUGAGCAAAGCCCUGACCUACCGAUACUCAAGGAGCAUUUGAAUUUUGGUGGUAUUGCGUGUGGCCUGGAGUUCUCUGUGAUCUUUGUGUGUCCUUUCUAACAUAGGUGUUUCUAUGGUUCUAAGACCUGUGACUUAGUGUAGGCAGUGAAAUCCAAAGCAUUGCACUUAUCAAGGGAGUGAGUCCCCAGUGACAUGCUGUGGGCCAACCCAACCUUGGCACAGCCCAGAAGCUUUCUGCAGCCUGAAAACCUGUAGAGUAGGAGAGGUGAGGAUCUGCAAUGUGGUGAGAUGCCAUGCUGACUGUCUGUCAAUAAACAGUAUGCAAUUUCCACCUUCCCCUUCCUCCAACCUUGGUCCCGUGGUGCUCAUUACGAGCAGAGCCUGAGCCUCUUGGCUUGAAGGACUGACUCCGGCUCAGUCUCUUUGCUCUUGCGAACUCCCACUGCCUUCAGGACAAGUUUGAUUUAAUAUAAG